UGCCAGGUAUUUCCUGAAGCACAUUCUCCUCAGAAACCUUACAGCAAGGAAGGUACUGCCAGAGAAGAGGAUGUGGGCAUUUCUCCGUGCUGCCUGAGAUACCAUCUUGGUCGUGAAAGCCUCCAACCUGCAACCCCCACAACAGCAGACUCUGCAAUUGUUUCUUCUUGGUUCCCUGUGCUCAGAAACAAACACAUGUCCGCAACCUCUUCUGCAGGGCUCUUGGAACGCACCUGUUAGUCUUCUCCUCUCUGGGGCUUCUUGAUGGGGCUCAGGCAAGUCUCAGUCUGUCCCUAAAUCUUUUCAUCAUUGAUGAAAUUUAUUAUAUUUUUUUCUUGUUGAACUAAAAUGCUACUUAAAAUGACUUCUUCAUAUUGGGAAAUUCUUGAAUUUUUGAGAUAACCACACUUAGUUAUAGUGGGUUAUUUUAUAUGGUAUAACUAAAUUCUAUGUGGUAGUCCAUCAUUAUAAAAAUAGAUUUUUCACACCUAUGUUCAUAAGUGAGAUAGAGCAUUUUGACAUUAGACAAAUUUGGGUGGGAAAGACCACGUUCAUUUUGUGAAAUAAAUUAAAUGAUUUCAG
rnacentral:lncRNA from 1 species